AGUUUAUGAACUUGAAUAAGUAUAUAUUUUGAAAAUAUAAUAAAGAAGAAAAAUCUUCUAUAAACUU
rnacentral:tRNA from 1 species